GACGAACGCUGGCGGCGUGCUUAACACAUGCAAGUCGAGCGGGGCGGCGAACGGGUGAGUAACGCGUGAGUAACUGCCCCCCUCUCUGGGAUAACAGUUGGAAACGGCUGCUAAUCCCGGCUAGUGGGGGCUGACUCGCGUCCUAUCAGCUUGUUGGUGGGGUAGUGGCCUACAAAGGCGACGACGGGUAGCCGGCCUGAGCGGGCGACCGGCCAAAUUGGGCUGAGAUACGGCACAAAAUCCUACGGGAGGCAGCAGUGGGGAAUAGUGCACAAUGGGGGAAACCCUGAUGCAGCAACGCCGCGUGCGGGAUGACGGCCUUCGGGUUGUAAAAAUCUUUUUUACGGGAUGCAGUACCGUAAGAAUAAGGUCCGGCUAAAUACGUGCCAGCCGCCGCGGUAAUUC
rnacentral:rRNA from 1 species